AAGUCGUAACAAGGUUUCCGUAGGUGAACCUGCGGAAGGAUCAUUACCGAAGUCAAGGCCCCUUCGGGGGCUAAACUUCCACCCUUUGUUUACCUUACCAUUGUUGCUUUGGCGGACCGCCUUAGGCCACCGGCUCUCGAGCUGGUGCGUGCCCGCCAGAGACCCCCAAACCCAAACCAUAUUUAGUGUCGUCUGAAAACAAGUUUAAAUUAUUAAAACUUUCAACAACGGAUCUCUUGGCUCUG
rnacentral:misc_RNA from 1 species